UACGUAGGGCGCAAGCGUUGUCCGGAAUUAUUGGGCGUAAAGAGCUCGUAGGCGGCCUGUUGCGUCCGCUGUGAAAUCCCGGGGCUCAACCCCGGGCGUGCAGUGGAUACGGGCUGGCUGGAGGCAGGCAGGGGAGAAUGGAAUUCCCGGUGUAGCGGUGAAAUGCGCAGAUAUCGGGAGGAACACCGGUGGCGAAGGCGGUUCUCUGGGCCUGUACUGACGCUGAGGAGCGAAAGCGUGGGGAGCGAACAGG
rnacentral:rRNA from 1 species